CAAGAAUCGGUUGCUUAACCAAUUGAGCCACUCAGGUGCCUCUCAGAACUGUUUUCUUAUCCAACAUGUCCCUUCUUAAAUGUCAUUCAGGGAAGAAGUGCUUAAGCAUCCAAUAUCUGAAGAUAUUCCAUAUUGGCUAUCAUAAUAGUCUCUUAAUUUCCUUUUUACCAUAUUUGACACUAGCAACGGUAUUACUGGUUGAUUUACCUGUGUUUGUUGACUGUCUCACCAUAGAGUUUAAACUCACUUGAGGAAAAGACCGUUUACUUUACAUAUCACUGCAUCCUUAGUGCAUUGUAUAGUGCCAUACAUAAGUUAGGAGCUAAAAAAUAUGUGUUAAAUGAAUGAAUAACACAUUUGCAGAGUUCAUGGGAAGACUCAAGCUUAUGUAAUUUUCUCGAAUGAGUACUUAGGAAACUCUCUGGGUCAUUAAUUGUGUUUGUAAUAAAUUCUUUUCUUCAUGAUGAUGAAGAUGUUAAUGUCAGCUGCCUUUGCAGCUGCUGGGUGGUAAGCUGAAGUGGGUUGACCAGAAGAAAUAAAAGGACAUGCUAAAGCAUCGUUUCAAACAAUAUCCUUUAAUCUCUGACUAUUGGGAAGACCAGCCAUGGAUAAACUAGUCUGUGUGCCAGGAUACCAAGGGAACUGGCAAACUCUGAGCAAAGUCAGCUUUUGAAGAAAGAAAGUCAUGGAUAAUAACAGAUAUUGCAAACCAUUGUCACAAUUGCUAUUGAGAGGAUGGGCCUGAUGUGGAUAUAGAGUACAAAGUUCUGUUCUCCUCUCACAGGUUUCCAACUAAGGUUUCCAACUAGUCUUUCCGACUAGUCUUGGGAGACAGCCCUGUCAACACCAUUAACUUCCAAAGGGAGAGAUCAUGACGUCAGACUUACUCAUUUCUAUCUAUUUUUUACACAGCUGUAGUUUAUCCAAAAAUACAUAGAGAGACAUUUAUUGCAAUUAUUAUUAAUACCUUUCCCCCAAUACUUUAACAUUUAUUUUAUAUAAGUAGAAAAUCCAUACCAUGUCAAUAAAACUUUUUUCACAUGUCUUAUGUUACAUGGUAAGUCACAGUUUAUUAUUUGUUGGAAUGUUCAUCUUGAGCAUUAGGACACAUGCAUAUUUCUUGCUGUUUGCAAUUUUAAACAGAACAAAACCUAAAUUAAAAAAAAUUUAGAAAAAAAUUAAAAAAAAAUUAACACAUGCUUGUAAAACCCACCCUACACUUUUGUAACCAAGUGAGUACCAAUAAUCUUAUGAACAUGCAUACACAAAGAAAAGAAUAAGAGAAAGAAAGACACUUGGCUUAGCAUUUCUUGUUUCAUUUUGCCCUGACUUGAUUCUUUCCCUGGCCCACAACUAGGACUGGAAAGUAGUGGCUUCUUAUAGCUGAGGUUAAGUUUAUAGCUUUUAUUUCCUGCUUCAACCAUAAGCAAGAUAUACAAAGGGUAUGUUUGGGAGGACUUGUUUUUUAAUGUCUUGUUUUUAGCCCAAUGUUUCAGUACUCUGGGGUUAUGGAGGAGUCUGGGCAAUCCCUAGUGCAUUGUACAGUGCACUAGAAAACAGCUCAGUGCAGAGAAACUUUGAUGGUGAGGUUACACGUGCAUGAAGUUAUUUUCAUGGAGUAGGAGGCAAAUUCUCAAGAUAAUCUAGUUUGUGAGAUACAGGUAUUUUUAGGAUAUUUUCAUAGCCAGCUUCAUACCAUAAUUAGUCCCAGAGUCGGAGUAUACUGGAAACCUCUAAGCUAUGGGCAAAGAUUGAGUUAGGUGUGAAGGUAAGCUGGGCUUACCUUGCUCUCUACUGUGUAGUUAAAAACAAAAAGGGGGCACAGAGAGAGUACUUGUUCUCUCCCUUUCUUCACCCACUGAAUUUUCAUUUCCCCUUCCACUACCCCAGAGGCCUAAUAAUGGACUCCAACAUCCCGUAUUCAACAGAGCUUUAAAAAUCCACACGGAGUCCAAAACUAGUAGGAAUUGGGGUUUGCUUUCUUUCGGGUUUAAUGGGACUUUCUAGGUUCAGGGUCCUUUGUCCUUAAACCGCAGGAUCAGGAAGGUGAAUUCCCCUGGGGGAGAGUGGCUCUGUGAGUUGAUUAGCACCAUUUGGCUGCUUCCUUGGUCUCUUCUGCUCAGGUAUUAGUUGUUCAGACAGCUGCGCGUCUGCCCUGCUCCCCAAGUCCCUCGUUUCAUUUUAAUGUGAGCCAGUGAGGCAAAGUCCCCAGCCUGGCCUGUCAAAACUUGAUAGCUCUGUAAACAUGGAAAUCUUUGUUGCCAUAACACCAGGAAAAAUAAUAUGGGAUCCUGCAUAUAAAUAUAGUGGAGGCCUUGGGAAAUGGGAGCAUUUCUAAACGACUUGAAGCUCUGUCAUGGCAUAAUCUCUUAUAAAUAAAUGUCAACGUGGUGGCUGAAUGCAGACUGGAUUUUUGCCUGCCUAUGGUGCUCAGCCUUCUAGACAACAGUUAUGCUAAGGGAUUAUCUUUUAACAUAGUGCAGUUAUCUCCUUUGUUUGUUUUCUUUUUUCAUUAUUCACAUAAGCCAAGGGAAAUGAAAAGCAUCUUAUUUCAGGCAAAAGGGCCUGUGAAUGAUUAACUCUGGUUCCAUGCAUUGGGACUUCGCAUAGCAACCCCUUGGCUUACAACUAGAGAAAGACUCAAGGCAGCAAGAGCAGCCCAGGGACUGGAGACGAACAUGCUCAAAAGGAGGUGGUGAGGAACAGAUUGAGUCGAAGCAUUGUGUGUAGGAGUAGAAUUCUCUGUAGCUGGCUUAUUUAAUUUUGCAUUGGUUUUAUUGCACUUUUCUUGGUGGAGGUGUGUUUUGCUGACCUUUACUUCACAUUUACUCUUGCAUUUGGAGUACACUUGAGGAUACAAGUGAAACUUGGCCCUGAUUAGGGCUUAAUCUGGUUUAGGCCACCAUAUUGUAUGUUUUCUCCCCAACACGAUCCAAAACUAGACUAACACUGGCUAAAUUUUACAGUAAGAUGUGGAAUUAAUGUCAUGGCCUUAAGUUUUAAUUUUAGCUCAACGAAAUUUUAGUUGGUAAAUUUUGGCACUCUUGUGAUGAUCUAUAGUACAAAGCAUUACACGAACGGAAGAGAAGCAAAUGGUGUGAUUAUAUGGUUUCAAUUAGGAGGAUAUGAGUCUGUAAAGAACCCAGACUGUGCAAUAUGAAGGAUGAAAUCAAGACCAAUUCUGUAUCUUUUAUGGACAUUGGGUGCUUAAACAUUUAUAUAACAGGGUCCAUUUUCAUGGAAAAACAAAACCUGCGUUAAAAGACUCAGAAGAAAAUGAAAUGUAGGCUAAAGACAGAAGAAACAUUGGAGAAUUUUGGAAAAUGCAUAUAGUUAUAAUGGAGCCAAAAUAUUUAGGACACUUAAAUUUAGACUGCAAGUCAAUCCAGAUGUUUAUUUAUUAACAUUAAUAAUGUUUCCAGUCUUGUUAUAGAAUACCAAAUCCCGGGGGGUUCCACUUCUGAGUUUAAAGACAAAUGCAUGGUCUUUAUUCUUUUCCAGUUCUGUUUUAAUUUUAGGAGUUUUCUAUAGCCAUGAUUUUCUUGUAAAAUUGUUUGCAAAAUCUUGAGUAGCUCCUGAUGCCUAGCAGAAAGUCCGAGUGAAACAUUGGGUCUAGCAAAGCUUUCCCCCUUCUGCAUUUCUCUUCUUGCUUCCAUGGCAAUAAAGAAAGAAACUUGGCAUAAGAAUAUAAUCCGUUCCUGCCUGUUUCUCAUCUGAAGUCGUAAACCUCUGCCAUCCCACCCAAGACUAGAAUUUCAGCUGGCAUGAAACAGCUGUCUGCUUACAGGUUUAUUCCGGUAGUAACCAAAGACAAAACUAUUUUAAUUGAAGGCCCUAGGCUGUUCUCCAAACCCUCACAAACUUUGGGUCGUUCCCAAGAGGAAACCAUUGAGGAAAAGGUACACAUUACACCCUUUCUUAUAGUUUUGACACACUGUAUGUUUAUGAAGUUGAGAACAUUUUACCUUCUAAUUUUUCUGGAUAGGAUGCCUUAGAGUAAUGGAAGAGGUCACAAAUUCAAAAGCCUAAGGGCUCAGGCACACCAGCUUUGUUAGUGGAGAGUAGACUGUGGUGUAUGGGAAAGGGAGUGUCUUGUCUCAAGGGGCAUCUGCUGCUCAGCUUCCCUCACAGUUAUCAUGUGGUGGUGUGGAAACCUGGGGUGGCCAGAUAUGCUGGUUUUUCAGUAGGAGUUCCUGAUCCCGAUUUUAUGUGAAUUCUGUAUAAUCUUAAAUGUUGGCAAUUAAUUUGAAGGCAAGCCAAACUUUGUGAAGGUCAAUCAAAACAUGGCUCUUAAGUGUUUGGGCCUGCCGGUAUCCCCCAGGCUUUGCUCCUGAUUCACUGCAGGUAGACUUUGCAUAUUUCAGCUUUGUAGGUUCUAAAACUGUCAGGUGAUAUAAUUUAUUUACACAUUUCACUUUUUAUUCUAGGUAGUGCAGCAUAAAGAAGAGAACUCAAGUUUCAGAGUCAGGAAGACGUACUUUUACUAGUUCCAGAUUUUUAACAAAUUGUAACCUGUACCACCUUAAUCUCUUGAAGCCUCUCUUACAACAUGUGGAAAUGAAAACCUAGUUUACAGGGCCUUUGGAGGAUUAAAUAUAUUGCUCUCCAUAUAAAACAUGCUUUGCCUGGCCCAUAGGUGCUCUUCACAUGGGUCAUGUGAUCACUACCAGCAGGUGAUCCACUUUGGAAGACACAAGGCCUCCAUCCAAAUGGGUUUCUCUCAGAAUAGGGAGAAGGUUUUCUCUGAAGGUCUAAUAUGGUAUGCAAUACAAAUAAAUUGUAUCCCGAGAAUCACCUCGAAGUCCUUAAGGAAUCUGAGAAUUUUAGAAACAGAAAAGGCCUUGAGGAGACAGAAACUUCAACAGCUAAAGAUGAAUGGAAUCACCAGUUUUAUUGUACAUAUUAAUAUCUGAAACCAUGGCAAAUGAAUUCUUUCCCUGAAAUGCAGGAUGACAUGUAAAGAACAUGACUUGUUAUAAAAAUAAAACCAAAGACCGUAUCCAGAACAAUGUUGUAAAGUGAAAGAAUGUAGGUUAAUUUUUUUCCUCUUAAUUUCUGUGGGAUUAUUUACUUGGCAACGAAUUGAUGAAUGUUACUAGACUAUUCCCUUAUUUUGUAUCUGGGUAGGUCUGCUGUUAGGGAGAUUUCUUCUCCCUUAGCUUUCAGUCCAUGAUCUCUGCAUGAUGGUGGCAAGGGGCUACACAACCAAUUGGGGUGCAUAAAUUUGUGUUUGAGAAUAUAACUGAUAUAUUCUCCUUGCUUUCUCUUCAAAAUUAGGUGCAAGUUAAAGCUUCAACAUUCAAAGGAAGAAGCCUCCUUCCUUCCCUUUCUUGGAAUAGCUGCAAGAGGCUAGAGAUGUUGGCAUCCGAGUUAUGAAGAAACGUGAAGGUUUUGGAGAAGAUGAAAAUUCGAGAGAGAAGAAGGGACAGAGAAGAGAAGGGGGAGCUCCAGUAUGAACUAAUGCAAAGUGAAUAUACCUCUAUUGAAAAGUAGAGGAAAGAAGGUCUGAGGGAACUAUAAAUGAACCAUAAAUGUGGGAUGCUCUGAAACUGCUGAGGGCAUAUGACUGGAGAAGGACAAUUACGACCUAAUGCUGAGAAGUGACCUUAAGCUCAACGUAGGAAAGAACUCAACAAUUCCGAGAGACCUGUGGUGGGAAGUGAAAAUAGAAGAAACCAGUGAAGAUACUGACCACCAGCAUCAGGGCUAGGAGGGUUGCCUGUGACAAAAAAUGGCAUAAGCACUGAGAGGGCUUAGACAAGAUUCUGUCAAACCAAAGACCAUACAUAGGACAAUAUGCUUGUCACUUCACUCUUGAAGAUAUAAUUUAUAUCCUAACAAUCUCUUUUAUUGUAGUAAAAGUAAUUGGACACUUGAAAGGACUGUGUGGGCUAGAUCCCCUAGACAUGCUGGGUGUGGUGAAUGGCCAGAGUUGAAGGAAAGAGCAAAGUUCAGAGACACGUCUUUGGAGAAGAAAGCUACCCCCCUUAAAAAAAUCAUCUGGUGGCUGCUGGAGUAUCUGGGAACCUGACCAAGAAAACCAUGGAUCAGAGCAGAUUCAAGAAAAAGUAAUCUGCCCAGUAGGAGUUUGUAGAAGCCAUCAGUAAAAACAAAUGCUAUCUGCUAAGGAUAUCUAUACUUUGGAUUUGGUCAUUAGUUGACCAGGUGGCUAAUGUUUCCUCAUCUUCUCAAAAGGUAGGAGAAGAUUUUAAAAAUUUAUUUGAGAGAGGAGAGUCUUGGAG